AGGUGAGCAAAGCAAGGUCAGCAGCAGUGAUCACUCCGACGCACAAAAAUGGGCAAAGCAGUGCAUGCGGCGGAAACACUACUGCGGCACCGCACAGCACAGCAGUAUCCCCAUUCCCCUCUCCUGCUCCUCCUCCUCACCUUUCCCCUCCCCUCCCUUCCUUCCCCUGCCUCGGCGCCGCGCUGCCCUGGAUCCCCGGCCCCCUCCACACGGGAUCUUCCAAGAAAUAGUGUGGCAUACUGCUGUAGUAACUUUUGCUUCUCCUCUUCUAUGAUUAUCUCCGAUACUGAUAGGUGUAUUGGACUCCUCCUUCUCCAAUGGGCAUCGUGAAGGUGGCAGAUAGUAUGCUGGUAACGAAGAGCGUUUACAGCUGUGGAAAUGAGGACCUUACGCCAGAGGAGAGAUCGCUGCUUCAGACCUUUCCUGGUCAUGAAUCUGAUGACCGUGAACAUACAGAGGUCGGUUGCGAGCUUGCGAUGUCUGGAGGUCUAAUGUGCAAUGUUCCUUAUGAGCUGUAUGAUCUGCCUGAAUUGAAGGACAUACUUUCUCUGGAGACAUGGAACUUAUGUCUAACAGAAGAUGAUAGAUUCCGUCUAGCAGCCUACCUCCCGGACAUGAACCAACAUGACUUCUUUACAACAAUGAAUGAGCUGUUCAGUGGUAGUGAUAUGUUCUUUGGGAGUCCACUUAGAGGGUUUUUUGACAGACUAAAUGGUGGGUUUUAUUCCCCAGAAGUUUCUCAGGCAAGAGAAUUGCUGAUGAUGUUUCAAAGACGAAAGCAUUAUCAUUUUCUGAAAAUGUAUCAUGAUGGCAUGAUCUGGAAGUUUGCUUACAUGGACAAGCUGUGGAGAAAAAGUGGUACGAGUACCAGUCUCGAGGAGAAAGUUCACAUUUGGCACAGCUGGAUACAUCAGAAGCUUCUCACAUUUGCAGAUCCAAACAGUUCUCCUGUCAAUGCAAAUCUGUCAAUCGUUGGCAAGGCUGAAGCUGCCGGUUCUUCACUAUUGAAGCGAGCUAAACUUAUGGAUGUGACAGUGACUACUAAUUAUUCAGCCAAACACAAGGAAAUAGUCCAUAGAGCAGAAUCAAUGGAAAUGAGCUCAUCAAAAAGUCACAUGUUUCACCUUCCGAACGAGCCCAGUGAAAAAUGUAGUAAACUGCCAAAAGGUGUGCUGAAAAUAAGGACUGAAUGUGAGUCCCUUGCUUAUGGCAAUGCAAGAAUUCAUCAUGCAGCAGGAUUGAUACCACUCGAUCAGCUGCAAAUGCAGGUCUCUAGCUUUUCUCCUUAUGCUUCUGCACAGGAUGUACAUAGUUUUGCUGGGAAUUCAUCUUAUCCUUGUCACAUAAACACAAGCAGCAGUACUUGGGGCAAUUCAGGCUCAAAUCCAUUGCAGUGGCAGGAUGCAUCAGAAACUUAUCCUGUCUUGGUCAAAACUCCACUUGGAAUCCAAGCUACUGUUCUACAGGAGCUUGGAAGAGGCAGCCGCUCUGGGUAUCAUACGGCAGCUAAACAUACCUUAAGUUAUUCCAAUGAAGAAAAUGACACAAGAGAAUCCCCCCAUGAGAAGAACCUCUUGAAGAACUUUGGUCCACAGAAUGCCAUAAUUCCUGGAAGCUCUUUUGGCAUGUUCCCAACAACCAUUGUUGAUCAUCAAACGAGAUACUUAGACAGUCCAACAAAUGCUGAAAUUAUUUCUGAGAUGUUGACCCUUGGUACAAGCACAAACCCAUCUUACACCAACUUCUCAGAGCAGACUGAAUAUCAAGAUGGACCGAAGAUGAAGGCUCCUCCUGCCAUGGACUCUGUUACAAAAGUUGAAGACCACCAGUUCCCUUAUACAUACACAAGGAGGAAGCUGCACAGGGGGCUUGACCUUGUGGACCCUGUCAACAAACCAAGCAUGGUUGGUUCGGGGUCACCGAGUGUGCUUGCUAGCAUGGAAAAUGUAAAGGUGAAGGCAAUCAGGCUUUGAAGCUUGCAAUCAACAAACAAGGAGAUCUGAACAUAGAAAUGGGGAGCUGGGGACAGGAACGUUUUAGCAUCUAGCUGACAUAGUAAAUAAGUGUAAUCGUCGCUUUCUCUGCAACGCCAGAGGAUGAAGCCUGGAUAUGUACAAGUACAUGAAUAACAAUGUUUCGAAGUCGAGUGCUACAGACCACUUAUUAUUGUGAUAGUUGCUAGCAAAGUGUAUAUAUCAUUCCAUAGUAUCACGGGUGAAAUGCAGAACCAUUCGGCAGCUUUUAGGUCAAUGCACAUCAUUAUGCUAUGCCGAUCUUUCCUUUUUUCUAAUCUUACAUCUGGUCCGAUUUGCCCAUGGGUACGUUCUUUUGUAAAGAAUAACUGUUAAGGGAGAGAUAUUCCAAUGGCAGGCUCACAAGGGAAUACUAGUACCAAGUAUGGAGGGAAGGAGGAGGAGGAAGGGUUGGACAUGGAAGGUGGAGGAAGGGUUGGCGGAGAACGAGGCUAUUUCUUUAGCGGGCGCCAUGGACACGACAAAGCGUCUCUGGUGAGUCGGCGGUGCCAUGAUCUCGAGGUAAAGCCGCUUUCUCUUUAGUUGAACAGAUGUCUGAAAUUGUUAAUUAGGAUCUCUUUUCGCUCCAGAAAAUGGUUGAUGAAACUCCACUGUAUUUUAACUUGCAUUGUUCAAAAAUUCAGGUAAGCACCAUACCUCUGAUGCGAUUACGUCGAGCUGAAACCUGCAGAAAAGCACUAAUCUCUUAGUGGUCAUGUAGAGGGUUUUUUUCUUGUAAAGAAUUAAGCUUCCUGGGUUUAGUGCUCCUUGACGGAAUGAGACUCGGGCGUCAGAUACUAAGCUGUGUGUUGUAGGUUCAGGUUCAGGUUCGGGGGUAUUUAGAGCAUUAUUGCCAGUCUCGUAUGGGUUGCACAUUUUGGUGCCAAAUAUAUACUGCCUGUGGUUGGGGUGUUUAUGAUAUAAGUUGCGUACUUGUGCAUCACUUUAUUCAGAUAGUAUAAGUCUCAAUCCCAAAGGGGAAUAGUUUUGCGCUUCCUCCUUCGUCCACGGUAGUGCGCCUGUUCUCCGCCAGUUUCCUUUUUGCGUUUCCGCGUGCGGGCAUGGCCCUGGUGUCAGUGGCUGCGGAUGCAUGUUGAUCGGGCUGUCAGUGACUGCGGUCUCCUCUAGGCGGUGGUGGUCUGGCAUCGUGAGUUCUUGGAUCGUUCUUGUCGUGCGACGCGUUGUCGCCCAGGGUUCUUCUCGGCGCUUAGGUGUCCUGGCGUUCUUCCUGCGCGUCACGCUGGCGCGUCGGCAGUGAUCUGGGUUCUUCUCGGCACUUAGGUGUCCUGGCUACGCGUCAAUCUGCUGUGUGCUGGCUCCUGCGUGGCCCUGGCUAUAUAAACAGCUUGAGCUAUCGGGUUUCGGCAUCUCGAUUUCGAUUGUUGUAUCGAUUGGCCGCCGUUCGCCGUGGGCUGUUUUUCUUUGCCUGUUGGUGCUUCGUCUUCUGUUGUUCCUGGAUUGCGCCGCUGCGCCCUGACCUGGCUUUCUUUUUUGUCGCUGGCGGCUGCCCCUGCUUUGGUCGAUCGGAAAGGUAUGGCCGGUGUAGUUUCUUAUGUUGUUUAUGUGGCGGAUCAUUUGCUGGUAUAUCUGUGAUUGGACUGUAGUGCGUGCCCCCUGUGUGCUUUGCAGGUGGAGAAUUUGAAGGCGCUUCUUGAGGUGGAGGUAAGCAGGGCCUGCAGUUUCCUUUUUUUUUAGAUAAAGGCCUGCAGUUUCCUUGAGAGUUCUAUUCCAUGCUUUGCCUUGAUUGAUUAGACCUCAAUUGUUAGUUUUGUCUGUGUGUUGCUAGACUUGAGUGCCAUGCUGCUGCUUCACUUCAAUGGCAGGAGAUGAGCAAAGCUUAGAAUCUCAGCGCAAUAUGAGUCCAUGGUGCUGAUCUUGUAGUGAUGGUUUCCUCCGAUAUAUAAUAUAGAUCCGCUUGUUGUCCUCGCGUACAAGCAUAUGAUUUUGCAUGAUUUUUGCAAUGAACAAACUAGACAUUGUAGCACAAGAAUCUGAGAGUGAACAAGUACAUAAUAGAUGAGCACAGCGCUGCUAGGAGACGUUGAAUGGUUCUGGAUCGAUGCAGGCUCUUGACUGGGAUGUAUAGAUGCAGAUAUUCCGUGCUUGCAGUGUGGUACGAUGCCUCUACAAAGGUUGGGAUUCUGAUUGGCUUUUCUUUCUAUCUGGUAAGGUUUGGAUCCUUCAAUGAUUCAGCUCAUUCUCGAUAUUGAUCUUUGCUAUCAGAGUAGAGCAAUAUUAUCCAAAACUUUAUUUUGUAAGUGAAUUUCAGUGCUCAGGUGACACAGUUACUAGAGUUUGCGCAUCCAUCGUUGUUCAUCUUUGAUAGAAAUUAAGCUAUAACUAUAUGCACCAGGUCAUAUUCAGCCACCUUAAUUUAUAUGUUCUAAUACAGCAGCAGGCAUCACAGUACUAUCUGCUAGCUACGUAGUUGGUUCUCAAAUCUCAAUUGAUUCAACAUCUAAAUAUUACACUGUAUUUUGAUUUGCAUUCGGGGUUAUUAUUUCCAAUUGCUUGGGAUAACCCGACACCUCUUUUGGUAUUUCCACACACCAUGUGGAAUGCAACGUGAUGUUUCUUUAUUCUAAAGGAAACAAGAAUUCCGCAAACACAAUAGUAAGUCUAUAUUUUGGUGAAAGAAAUUAUGGCUUAUGUUGAUCUUUCACAACUAUGUUCUGCGUUCCCUGUGCUGAAAGUUUGGGUGCUCCUUAACUACUCCCUCCGAUCCUAAAUUGUUGUCGAAAUAUUACAUGUAUCUAGACACUUUUUAAGAAUAGAUACAUCCACAUUGGGCAAAUUUGAGUCAAGAAUUUAGGAUCAGAGGGAGUAAUAAUCAUGGUAGUGGUGAUUAAUAUAAAGGAACCGAUCUAAAAAGUGCAGCAAGAAAAUGUGAACAAUGCUUUGGAACUAAAAAAGCAGGCAGAUGAUUGAAAAUAGCACUGAAGACGUCGAUUUUAGUUUAAGUGGUUGUGUUCUUACUGGAUGGGUUAUUUGUAAACUGAAUUGGGCAGAAGGAUGUUUUGAUGUCAACAAGAAAUAUUUCAGAUGCAACAUAGAUUAAAAAAAAAUCAACAGACACUUUUCUCUUUGUUCCACUACAAGAUGUAGGCACCAGAAAAGUUGCCUUCUAAAACUUGGAUCAAAGAAGACUCAACGCAGUGAUGAUGGGAAACCUGUUGCAGUUAAAAAAUGUUCCUUAUCCAAGUUUCAGAUUCGGUGAGCUUCAAUGCCAACCUUAUUUUAAAUGUAUAAAUUCAGAGGACAUUGUUGACUUGUUUUUAUUUCCUAGAACUGUUCCCUUCACUCUUUUAAUUGCACCGUGGUUACGAUUCUGAGAUUUGUUUUUGAAAAUAAUUACGUUCUGAGAUCUAGCUGCUGAAAUCAUCUGUUGAGAUUGCAGUGUUGUCAUUAUUUACUUUACUGUUCACGUCGACUUUUAGCAGAGCUUACAUUUCAUAACUCCUUAUUGUGUGACUGCAGUUCUGGGACUAAUUUGCUGGUGCAACUGAGGUCCUGACUCAUGACCAACAAUCCAUCUAGCUCGAGCACUAAUUUGCCGAUGAACCUUGAGUGUUUGGGUGGUCCCAUUUUGAUCUUCUGUUUUACAGUGAUUGAGAGGCUCCUGAUGUGGUAUGCUAUAGGUUAUUUGCUUUAUAUGCACCAUAUGCUCAUAAAAGGUGAAAGCAGCAAACAAAUCUCUGUAAAUUUUCUAUGAUCUCUACUUUAAGGGUAACUAAAUAUAUCGACUGGUUCAUAUUUUAUCUCUAUUUUAAUUAUUAAAAGCACCAAUAAAGAUGCUAUGUUUAGAUUUUUCUGAAUGAAAAUGACCUGGAACUCUACUUCUCCCUCCGUUCCUAAAUACCUGUCGCUGUUUUAGUGCAAACUUGCAAGUUAGACAGCACUGACUCCCUUGAGCGGAUACAAUCACCCUUAACUCCCUUGAGCGGCAAGCUAGACAGCACUAACUCCAGCAAUUACAACAAAUUGGAUGAUUGUUGACAGGUAACAGUGUAGUACUAAUGGCAACCUGCUCAAAUGAAUUCAUGAAUUUAUUAUAGGUAUUUGUUGUAAUUGCAGUUUAGUUGUAUGGUAUUCUAUGGAAGAUGAUGUAGCUGUAGGUAUUCGUUGUAAAUUGCAGUUUAGAUGUAUGGCUCGAGGAGGUCCUGCAGCAGCUGAUUCUGGCCAAUCAGUCUACAAAUGGGCCCUUGCGAGCAAAGUAUAAUGCAAAAAACUCAAGGAAGAGGUAUCAUAUGAUCAAGAGGAAUUUGUAACAGUUGUUGCUUGUGCCGUGGUAUGGUUUAUCAGAAGAGUUCUCAUGCGUGGAAGGUUAUCAAUUUGUCAUUAUCUCUUCUUGUUUUCUCGACAAGUGUUGUCGACAUAGUCGAGCUGCCUUAAUUUGAUUUACUUGUUAUAUACGGAGUUGCUCCUAAAAUGCAACUUUUAUUCAUUUCCCAUGUAUAUAGAACUCACUUUUUCACUUGGAAUCUUUUUUAAGGAUGAGUGUAAUGGGGCAGUUCAAGUGUCA